UUCGAUGAACGAAGCUACGACUUUGAAAAUGUAGGUACACUUCAAAAGUUUUUUUUUUUUUUUUCGAAAUGAUGAUAAACUUUAGGAAGGAAUGAUAUAAUGUAGCGAAAACAUUUAGUUAGGCGGCUAUACAAGCACUUUGACAUUUGCAUGCAGUGUCACCCUUUGAGACCCAGGUGACAUCUGCUCGCUCCGCCCAGCUGGAAGCGAGAGGACGAUGUCGGAAUGAUAAACCGAAGUCAGUCUGUAACCGUGUGGCAGCCUGCUGUGGUUAGUUUAUCUACAAGAAUAGAAACUGCAGAAUGUCAGCUUUUUAUAUCGUUUAAAUGUGUGACAUUAGUUAACGUGAGGCCGCAGUGUUUUUCCUGUGGAUAACGAUAUGUGCAUCAGCUGGUCGGUGUGAGUUGACUCGGUGACAGAGUAAUUAAAUAACGGCUCAGUGAUUCCCUCGGGACACUUUAAUCAUUUUAUUUUUUACGUUAAAGUGAAAUUACAAAAAAAAUAUGCGAGGGAAUUCCCACCAUUUCCAUAUGGGCUAUGUUUUCCAGUCAGCUCGCCGUGACUGUGCAGGACCCAACAUAGUUUGUAUUGCCUAAAUAUCAAGCGUUUUCAAAGCUGGACUUUUUUUUGCUUUGACUAGCUCACACUGGCCUACAUGAAUGAAUCUGAUCGGUCAGUGCUGUUGGAGACUGUUUUGAACGGAAAGCGAAAGAGUAAGGCUACCUCAACUUGGCCGGCCACUUUACAACAUGUUGUUAUUCACAGGACAACGAGCAAGUGGAUUUUCUGCUGACCCAUCGUUGAAGCUGUAAAAUGCUUUAAAGCGGCGUAAUUCAGGCACCUGUUGGCAUUGGUCCUGAGCCCCUUCCUGGCUGAGGGUGUGUUUACAAUCUGACUCCCACCAACAGCAGCUGAAUGUCUCAACCAUGCGCCUGUCGAGACCCCCCAAAUUGUGGUUCAAUAUAUGAGGGUUUUUCCAGACUGUGUGUGUCUCUGCUGUCUGUCUGUCUGUCUUUAUUGGCGCCUUGAGCAUCAGUAUGUGCUCUUUUUAAUCUAGCUAUGUGUGAAGAUACACAUUAUGCACAUUACCCUUGCAUAGUAGUCAUUCCUGGACACUAAUAGGCUCUGUAAGGGGAACCUUGAGGCCAGUAGAUAAGAUGCAAAAGAUGCAUUGUUUUUCUCUACUUUGUUUGCCCAUACUCCACCCUACUUUCUAAGCUCAAAAUCAAUGAGGGAUCAAAUGUCUGAGCACUUAAAAUGCCCAGAGAUGAGGUCAUUCUGGAUGGGGCAUUGUGGUUGUUUUCAGUUGGUGUUGUCGUGGAACCAAGUGACUCGAUUGGACUGUGACUUUUCUCUGAUCCUCCUUACCCUCUUCUCUCCCUGUAUGUGGUCUAUCAUUAGAGCUAUAAUUAGCCAUGCUUAUCAGUUCUGUCAUUGCCCUGGUAAGACCGCAGAUGUUUAAGCGCUUGGAAUAGCUCAGUGUGUAACAGCGUGUAGGUACAGUAUCACUGGUGCCCUAACACAGUCAGAAGUCGAGCUGAACUUGGAGCAAAAGUUUUAGUUUAAAAAUCAUGAAAUGCCCUUGGAAUAAAAAGUACUUGGCCCUGUCGCGUAAUGAGCAGUGUGAGGUAUUGAAUUGCUACAGCUUCCCUAUUUGUAUGUGAUCUGCGGCACACUCGAACUUGUUCUAUUAUUUGAACUUUAAACCUUUAUGCAACCUACAACUUAAAAAAACAUUUUGUUCUGUUCAGCAGUGUCAUAUAGAAUGGGUUGAGUGUUUUUUCAGUGUACGAGUCCCUUUGUCCUCCAAGUAGUGUGUUUACACAGGUGUCAUCAUAAGCAAAAUGUUGGGUGGCAGCAGCAGAUGUGUGUCAUUAUUGGCUGGAUGCUGGCAUUUAUUGUGAAGGUACAAUGGGCAGCUGCUAAAAGGUCUGAAACCUUUUGUCUCAGCAUGAAAAAAAAAGGCCGGCCUCAGAAUAUUGUAACUUGUCAUAACAAGAAAAGCUCAGAAUUUUUUUUAAAAACAUAAACUUUGGCUUUGUACAAGUUUCUCAGUAUGAAAUGACAGUGAGCCUGCAGUAUGGUACCAGGAACUUGGAUCUGAAUCAGCUUAAUGUAGUAUUCAUCUACUAUUCGUUUUAUUGUUUAUGACAGUGCUUUUCCCACUGUGUUUCGCCAAAUUGUGUUCUCUAAAAAUGAGCCUGUUGUUUCAUUUCCCUAACGUAAUAAAUAAGCUGGUUUGACAAAGCAUAAACGUAUGUUACAAUAAAUUAAAUAUAGGGGUUGUUUGAUACAUACAACUAUUGAAUCAUGGUGCCAAGUAGCGAUAUUUUUAAUUAAAAAGAAUACUGCCCUCUAAACAGACUUCCUUGCCAAUUUGACUUCUGGUAUCACCACUUCAUGACUCCUCUCGGUGGUGCUUAUGACAUGAAUGGGGUGAGCGUGAAUAGAAGCUAGUUGCCCAAAGAAGUUGACAUUGUGAUAGAAGAAUAAGAAAGCGGGAAAAUGUUGGACAGCAGUGAGAAGAAGUUAAGAGAUGAAGCAUGAUAAGAGGGGAAACAGAAACCAAACGGCAGUAGAUAGUAAUCCUGCACUUUACCUUUUAGAGGGCAUUUUAUAUUCUUCAGUUAAUGAGAUAUUGUGAUGUAUUAUCAUACAAUUGUCUUGCAUUAAUCAAUUAUUGUAGAUUCCAUGUAUCCUGAUAUUAUCCCUAUAAAACAAUUUUACACCCUG